CUCUCCGGGCAGCCUGUUCCAGUGUUCUGUACCUCCACAGUAAAGAUGUUCUUCCUCAUGUUUACAUAGAACCUCCCAUGUUCUAGAUUUUGCCCACUGCCCCUUGAUCUAUUGCUGCACACCACUGAAAAGAGCCUAGCCCCAACCAUUUGACUCCCACACAUUAGGGCCACAGACGUCCCAAGCUGUCAGCAAGAGCUCUCAGCACAGCAAAUAGCCUAAACUGACUAUUGUUAACUUUGAAGAAUUUACAGAGGAUUGAAAGUGGACAGACUUCUAAAAGAGUUUUCUCUGCUACAUCAAAAAGGGUUGAAAAAAAUUGAAAAGAACUUGAAAAGCAGCUGAUCUCUGGCAGCGCACGUGGAUUUGGGCCAACAGCACAGUUCUGCUGGCAUCCACAUCUGUGGAUAACUGUAGGGGAGCAGUUCCACUGAACAUAUACAGAAAAAUGUUUGAGAUCCUCAUGCAGUGGUGCAAUACAUGUAGCAGAGGUUUUCAAAAGGCCACCACCAAAAAACAGUGCUCCAGUGGCAGCUCUGAGGAGCAUUCACAGAAAAACAGAAGUUGAAACACAACUACCAGCUGCUGCUAUGGUAACAACCCGGGCAGUGAGGGAGAUGCAAUGAAGCACAAUUAUAGGAACAAUCAAAAAUGAGGUAUUGGGACGUUGUGGUAAAAAGAUCGGUGCACGGAAUACCAAAUCAUUUUGAAACUCUGUAUAGGUCAAUAUUUGGAUGCUUCCUCCCAGCGAAAUAAAGGUCCUGUUCAUUAUUUUUUUAUGUGUGGUAUUCCUAUGAGGUCCAAAAGUGUUUUCAUUCUGGUGUGUG